rnacentral:rRNA from 1 species
GGUUUGGCUGGUCGGUCCGCCUCACCGUGUGUACUGGUUCGGCCGGGCCUUUCCUUCUGGGGAGUUCGAUGGUCUUCAUUGGUCGUCGCGGGGAAUCAGGAUUUUUAUUUUGAAAAAAUUAGAGUGUUCAAAGCAGGCCUUUGCUCGGAUACAUUAGCAUGGAAUAAUGGAAUAGGACUU